rnacentral:rRNA from 1 species
UACGAAGGGGGCUAGCGUUGUUCGGAAUUACUGGGCGUAAAGCGCGUGUAGGCGGGUCUUUAAGUCAGGGGUGAAAUGCCAAGGCUCAACCUUGGAAAUGCCUUUGAUACUGGAGACCUUGAGUCCGGGAGAGGUGAGUGGAAUUGCGAGUGUAGAGGUGAAAUUCGUAGAUAUUCGCAAGAACACCAGUGGCGAAGGCGGCUCACUGGCCCGGAACUGACGCUGAGACGCGAAAGCGUGGGGAGCGAACAGG